UGUACACACGAUGCAGCAAACCCGCCAACUGUUGUCGUCCCCGGAGGGGUCUCACCCGGAGGUGAGGCCGUCGAUGGCGUGGAUCGGCCCCCCCCGGGGGGCCGGCCCGUGGGCGAGAUGGGUGUCUUCGCCGUCGGCUGGAGUGUGCCUCGUACUUGCGAUUCUUGGCGUGGGAAGCUGGCAUCCCCCGUGUAUGGCGGGGGAGGCGGCGGCCUGCGGUUGGGGUCGGGCUCUCUCCCCUCCUCCUUUGUCCCCGUCUUCGGGGGCUCUGGGGCCGUUUUUUCACCAGCACCUUGAGGGACAUGAACUGGAAGACUGAGGGUGUAUAGGGCUUGUGGGGGCUGCCUUGGUGUGUGGGCAGUGCACAACCCGAGUGGAAAAUCGAGAAGCAACGACUCUCAGCAACGGAUAUCUUGGCUCCUGCAACGAUGAAGAACGCAGCGAAAUGCGAUACCUAGUGUGAAUUGCAGAAUUCCGCGAAUCAUCGAGUCUUUGAACGCAAGUUGCGCCCGAGGCUUGUCCCGAGGGCAUGCCUGCCUGAGCGUCAUCGCACUCCCACCCGGAAACAUCUUCGGUGUGGAUCUGGCCGUCCGGAAUCCGGCGUGACCGCCGUGGGUUGCGGUGGGCUGAAAUGCAACGAUCCGGAAGCUACCGAAUGGAGUGGCCGGGAGAAGGUGAUCCGCUCCCUUUGCGGAGCGGAGUCUCUGAUUUGGAGAAGGGCUCUCUUUUCCGGUGGUCCGGUCGAUUGGCUAUGGGAUCCUGUGUU
rnacentral:rRNA from 1 species